CAAUAGCGUAUAUUAAAGUUGUUGCAGUUAAAAAGCUCGUAGUUGGACUUCUGGUAGGAGUGACCGUUCCGAACUUGAUUGUUCGUGUAUUGUGUUUUCUCCAGCCAUCCUUGUGGAGAACUUUUCUUGCAUUAAUUUGUAGGGAUUGGGACCCGCAUCGUUUACUGUGAAAAAAUUAGAGUGUUUAAAGCAGGCAAUCGCUUGAAUACAUUAGCAUGGAAUAAUAAGAUAGGACUUUGGUACUAUUUUGUUGGUUUGCAUACCAAAUUAAUGAUCAACAGGAACAGUUUGAGGAUAUUCGUAUGAACAUGUCAGAGGUGAAAUUCUUGGAUUUUGAUCAGACGAACUACUGCGAAAGCAUUUAUCAAGGAUGUUUUCAUUAA
rnacentral:rRNA from 1 species